rnacentral:rRNA from 1 species
GUGCCCUACGGGAGGCAGCAGUGGGGAAUAUUGGGCAAUGGGCGCAAGCCUGACCCAGCAACGCCGCGUGAAGGAAGAAGGCUUUCGGGUUGUAAACUUCUUUUAAGAGGGAAGAGUAGAAGACGGUACCUCUUGAAUAAGCCACGGCUAACUACGUGCCAGCAGCCGCGGUAAUACGUAGGUGGCAAGCGUUGUCCGGAUUUACUGGGUGUAAAGGGCGUGUAGACGGCUGUGCAAGUCUGAAGUGAAAGCCCAGGGCUCAACCCUGGGACUGCUUUGGAAACUGUGGAGCUAGAGUGCUGGAG